AGCCUCAGGUGGCAGAAGUAUUGGAGCUUCAGCUUCAGCGUCAAUCCUCUUUUUUUAAGAGGCUGAAGGAGAAGAAGCCAACCCCAUGAGGAGAACCAUCCAGACAUCUUCAAGGAUCAAAGGGAAAACUCAAGACACUUCUUGGAAGUGGAUCCUGCCGCCCUGGUGCCUGGCCCCUAUCUCUGUUUCCAGUCCUAGCCAAACUCAAGUCCUGGAUGGACCAUGAUCUAAUGGGCCUGGGUUCAUCACCUGCUUCUCUUCCCAGCCACUGAGCCUGGGAAAGGAACCUGAGGCAGUUCUCCUGAACAACAAGGGCCUGGUGCCUGUUGGGAACCACGCUAUGGCCUGGCCUCCCAGUGCCAGCAACCAAGCCUCAUCUUCUACUGUGAUGCUGCCUGAAUCCCCUGGAUCUACAGUUUGAGGACUCACAGCCCUUCACGGCAGCGCUGGGCCAGCCCACUUAGUGCAAGCGUAGCCACUUCCAGCCCUAUUUUCCUGAUGUCAUUGGGGCCAAGGUGUGGUCCGUUAUUAGCAGGGCAGAGUCCCUGCUCUGCUUCUUACUUGCUGUGCAAACACAGGGGUUCCUUUCUCUACAUUUUUUCUCUGUUCCCCUCUCUUUUUUUUCUAAUAUUGUUUUUCAAUUGGAGGAUAAUUGCUUUACAAUGUUGUGUUUUCUGCUGUGCAACAACAUGAAUCAGUCAUAAUGAUAUAUAUAUACCUGUAUAUAUCCCCUCCCUCUGACAUCUCCCUCCCCUCUGUUCCCCUGUCUGUGAUGAUAGUCUGGAGCCAGUUUAUGACUGGGAUUCAGGAAUCACCUGUAAAGAAA